GAUGAAGAACGUAGCGAAAUGCGAUAAGUAAUGUGAAUUGCAGAAUUCAGUGAAUCAUCGAAUCUUUGAACGCACAUUGCGCCCGCCAGUAUUCUGGCGGGCAUGCCUGUCUGAGCGUCAUUUCAACCCUCAUGCCCCUAGGGCGUGGUGUUGGGGAUCGGCCAAAGCCCGCGAGGGACGGCCGGCCCCUAAAUCUAGUGGCGGACCCGUCGUGGCCUCCUCUGCGAAGUAGUGAUAUUCAGCAUAGGAGAGCGAUGAGCCCCUGCCGUUAAACCCCCAACUUUCCAAGGUUGACCUCAGAUCAGGUAGGAAUACCCGCUGAACUUAAGCAUAUCAAUAAGCGGAGGA
rnacentral:misc_RNA from 1 species